ensembl:lincRNA BC037156 cDNA sequence BC037156
CGAUAGCAGUAUCAGCUAGAAGGAGCAGAGUGGAGAGUUUCAGAACAAGAUGAAAACUCUUCUCCUGCUCGCUGCCAUCGUGGCAGUAACUGCUUGUCUCCCCGUGCCUAAGGACCAGGAACGAGAAAAACGAAGUGCCAGUGACAGUGACAGUGAUGAAUUCCCUUUACGGAUUCCCUUUCCCCCAUACGGGUAUCCAUUUGGUACAUACCCACCAUUCUUAAAUCAAGGCUACCCGUGGUAUUAUUAUUAUUAUCCUCCUUUUCCCCUGCCCUUCACCCCCCCUCCAACUGCAGAUCCUUAACUGCAAAUGAAAGAAAAGUCACACUGUGGAUUAUUUAAGGUUGCUUUGAAAUUGAAUAUGAACCACUUCCUUGAAGGAUCAAUAUUCCUGUUAAGAGAGAAAAAUAAAAGCAAUUGAAAUAGCAUA